rnacentral:rRNA from 1 species
AACGAACGCUGGCGGCAGGCCUAACACAUGCAAGUCGAGCGCUGUAGCAAUACAGAGCGGCGCACGGGUGAGUAACACGUGGGAACGUGCCCUUUGGUUCGGAAUAACCCAGGGAAACUUGGGCUAAUACCGGAUGAGCCCUAACGGGGGAAAGAUUUAUCGCCGAAGGAGCGGCCCGCGUCGGAUUAGCUAGUUGGUGGGGUAAAAGCCUACCAAGGCAACGAUCCGUAGCUGGUUUGAGAGAACGACCAGCCACACUGGGACUGAGACACGGCCCAGACUCCUACGGGAGGCAGCAGUGGGGAAUCUUGGACAAUGGGGGAAACCCUGAUCCAGCCAUGCCGCGUGAGUGAUGAAGGCCCUAGGGUUGUAAAACUCUUUCGGCGGGGACGAUAAUGACGGUACCCGCAGAAGAAGCUCCGGCUAACUUCGUGCCAGCAGCCGCGGUAAUACGAAGGGGGCUAGCGUUGUUCGGAAUUACUGGGCGUAAAGCGCGCGCAGGCGGUUCUUCAAGUCAGAGGUGAAAG